rnacentral:snRNA from 1 species
AUCACUUCUUGGCCUUUUGGCUAAGAUCAAGUGUAGAAGUUAUUCUUUAUAUUAUAUUAUAGUUAUUAUUUAUAUUAUUC